rnacentral:lncRNA from 10 species
CCUCCGCUUCCCCCAAGGUUGGCGCCCGGGAGCCGUGCUCUGGGACCACACUCCUCUUUGGCUCUGGGAAUUUCUCCUCCCACGUGGAGGCCCCCACAGCAGUGGACACCACCCAGCCAGGCCCACCUGACCGGUCAGGCUCAAACCCUCUGGUACCCGCCCCACCCAUAGGACCAGGUGUAAACCAGGCAGCGACACCCCAGACGUGUGGUCUUGGUCAGCUCCCCUGGGCUCCUCUCCCUCCAGCUGGCCCUUCUCUGCCCAGGAAACAGUUUUCUGAAGAGUUCUCCGUUCUCGAGCCUUCCAGCUGCGUGGGAGAGAGUUGACCCCAAGGCUGGGACCACAAGAGGCCAGGGAGGGUGGGCCUGGGAUCUGCAGCUCACGGGCUGUGUGACUGUGGGCACGAGAUUUCAUUUCCUGAUUCAUAAAGGUGGGGACCGAUCAAAGCUACUCCUUGGACCUUUGUGAAGAUUAAAUGAGUUCAACACGGAGCAUUCUUGACCCAUGGGCCAUCCCCAGAUGAGGCUGCAGCAUUGCCCCGUGUGCUCUCAGCUGGUGCCAGUGUUGUCUGGAACUGUCUGGACCUACCUGGAAACUGAGUACCUACAGGGUUUUGUCACUUACAGUGAUUGCCAUGGUCUGAAUGCUUGUGUCCUCCUCGAAAGUCCUACAGGGUGAAGGACACAGUUGCUGCCCUGGCCCUGUCACCCAUUGAGACCAGGACACCCCAUUGUGCUGGAGCUGCUACCUGGUUGCCAACACUCAGGCAGCCUGUUCAAUGAGAGCAACUUGCACCACUAUCUUGGUCCACAGAGCCUUCCAAGAUGCGGUGCCCUCCAUCAGCAUAUUGCCACGCCUUUCUCUCCCAGGAUGCAUUGCUGGGAUGGAUGAACAGGGCCAUGCGAUAAAUCCUCUAACGUUGCCACGUCUGUGCUUUUGCCUCCUUUCCUCUCCGUUGUAUGGAGGAAGUUCUGACAGCUCACUUCAUUUCACGUGGUGUGCAAGCUUCUGUCAAACAACGGAACAAACUAUGAGAACCACUUCCAGCCACUGCUUCUGCACACUUCUCUGCUAAGUGAGUCUCUGCUGUGUGAGUCUCAUUGGUAAAACUACCCUGAUCUAACAUUCUGUUACCUCCUUUGUGGUCCAACACUCCAAGAGUCCACGGCCUCAGACGCCCCUGGGUUUCUGCUGAUGUAAAUUGGCAAAAACUUGCAUUCAGUGUGUAUGUGGCUCCUCUUGGGUCUCACUGUGUGUUUAUCCCUCUGCACCCAACUCUAGUCAUGGCUCUGGGAAUAAUGAGGGUCGGUGGAGGUGGAUCUCAAGGGAGAUCUGUCAUCUUGCAAGGCUGUUUCCUCAAGUGAAGCCAUCACAGAUCUUUGGGCACAGUUUUACUCACCUCAGACUCUAAGGAAGAGUCACUUCUGCUUACAGGGAGACUCAGGAAGGUCUAAUGUUCAGGGGACUCAGAGUCAGAGAAAUCCACCCUCUCCAGUUCUCGAGGUCUCAUUCUUUCCAAAUAAAUGCCUUAACUUUGACUUAAGAGAUUUAGUAAGACAUUUAAUUAUUCUUUAGUUGUAAUUCAUUAGCCUGCAAGAUCAAAUUUGUACUCUGCAUUUAAAAAAAAAAGUUGACUCUACAGCUACAAGAACUAAAAUGGUUUUUUUAGGACAGCUAUAGAAGGGCUCUGGUUCUCUGUCUAUACCUUCAGCUGAGCACUUAAGGCCACAGCUUGUCAUUUUCUUUGUCAGUUCCCCAGUGCAAUAAGCAGCAGCCACCCCAUGCCACAUCCUUGUAUGCAUGGUUUCCAUCCACAUCCUAAUGUCCUAUUGCAAGAGCCCCCUGGUGUCUGAAACCCAGGCUUGUGAUGGGCACUGCAUCGCAGAGACCUCAAGGUAAUGAUUUUACCAGUGACAAUGUUUAUAGAUUAUCUGCAUCCUGCUUCCCACUCCUCACGUGGUCCUCACUGACAUCAGACAAAACCUGGUCUGUCCAAUUACUAACUCCAGAUUCCCAUCUUCAAGGUUCUGCCUUCCUGGAAACACUGCUGGUACCAGGAAUGGUUGGUCGGGAACACUAAAGUCACUCUAGGUAUUUUGGGUAGAAGGAGAUUCAUUGCAGGGAACUCUAGGCUUACAGAAAUGUUGAGAACUUUGGGGACUGAAGGUUAUUUCAGGAGAUCUGGAAGUGCAGGGAUAGAAGGGUAGCAUCCAUUGCCCCCUGAUAACUGUACCACUGACAUGGCUAGAAACCACCCCAGUGAUCCCAGCUGCUUGUAGCACCUCAGGGUGAUUCUCAAACUGACUCCAGAAGCCAAGGUACACUGCUGCCAAUGACUGCAGGGGCCUCUGCAAAACGGACGUUGAUGAAUGAAACAAAGUGUGAUCUACCCAUAGCAGGGAAUGUUAUUCAUCCUUAAAAAGGAAGGAAAUCCUGCAGCUCACGCCUGUCAUCCCAGCUCUUUGGGAAGCUGAGGCAGGAGAAUGGCUUGAGGCCAGGAGUUUGAGACCAGCCUGGGCAACAUAAUGAGACCCCCGUCUCUACAAAAAACAAUUUAAAAAAUUUGCUGUAGUCCCCGCUACCCAGGAGACUGAAGCAGGAGGAUAGCUUGAGCCCAGGAAGUUGAGGCUGCAGUGAGCUAUGAUCUCUCCUGUCUCUAAAAAAGAAAAAAAAUAAAAGGAAAGAAAUUAAUUCUCACACAGGCUACAAAAUGGAUGAACCUUGAGGACAUUAUGCUGAAUCAAAGAAGCCAUUCAGCAAAGGAUAAAUCCUAUAAGCUUCCCCGUAUAUGAGGAACCCAGAGCAGUGAAAUCCCCAGUGACAGGAAGUGGAUGGUGGGCACCAGGGGCUGGCAGAGAGGAUGGGAGUCAGUCUUCCAUGGGGACAGGGACAGCUUCAGUUUGGGAAGCUGAAGAAGUUCUGGAGAUGAUGAUGGUGGUGACAAGUGCACACCAACGUGAAUGUAUCAGGGACAGCUUCAGUUUGGGAACUUGAAGAAGUUCUGGAGAUGACGAUGGUGGUGACAGGUGCAUACCAACGUGAAUGUAUCAGGGACAGCUUCGGUUUGGGAAGCUGAAGAAGUUCUGGAGAUGAUGAUGGUGGUGACAGGUGCACACCAAUGUGAAUGUAUCAGGGACAGCUUCGGUUUGGGAAGCUGAAGAAGUUCUGGAGAUGAUGAUGGUGGUGACAGGUGCACACCAACGUGACUGUAUCAGGGACAGCUUCAGUUUGGGAAGUUGAAGAAGUUCUGGAGAUAAUGAUGGUGGUGACAGGUGCACACCAACAUGAAUGUAUCAGGGACAGCUUUGGUUUGGGAAGCUGAAGAAGUUCUGGAGAUGAUGAUGGUGGUGACAGGUGCACACCAACGUGAAUGUAUCAGGGACAGCUUCGGUUUGGGAAGCUGAAGAAGUUCUGGAGAUGAUGAUGGUGGUGACAGGUGCACAGCAAUGUGAAUGUAUCUAAUGGCACUAAACUGUGCACUUUAAAACUGCAUGCAUUUACAAUGGUAAAUUUUAUGUUAUGCGCAUUCCACUGUAGUGAAAAAGAGUUAACUUCACCUGAAAUGAAUUCGUGUGGUAACCAUUGG